UAGUUGAAUUAUAGAGAAUGUUGCAUAUGAACAUGAAAUGUAUUAAAUUGAUAAUUAAAUUUAUUUAUUUAGAUCCAGAAGAUUCAAAUACGAAGCUAGAUCGAGGAAAGGAAAAAGUUCAGGAUUAGUAGAUUUUUACUGUUUACAAACAAGUAUCAAGUGUUAAGAGCUCGGAGGUCGGAUUUGGUCGGAGACACAUCACACUGUCAACCUCAGGAUUUCGGUAUAUAAAGAAACUUUAUUUUGGAAAUCAAUGGCAUGUAUAAGCUAACAAAGUAAAUGUUAACGUGAAAUGAAUGUAAAGUUAGCCAUUAGUAUGGUUAACAAACCUGGUUAUAGAUAUGUGAUGACGUUAUCUUAUAUAAAUGCAUGAAUCUAUCAUGAAAAUA